CACAUCGACGGGGAGGUUUGGCACCUCGAUGUCGGCUCAUCCCAUCCUGGGGGGGCAGUACCUCCCAAGGGUUGGGCUGUUCGCCCAUUAAAGGGGUACGUGAGCUGGGUUCAGACCGUCGACGAAGGCGGCCCAGGCGGGUAACCGCCUGCGGAAAAACCGGCUCAUAACGGGGAAGCCCUCCGGGUCCACCGACCGGAUGCCGAGGGUGACCCCGUGGGAAGGUGAAGGCAGUGGACGAGACCACGAAGGCCUACGUAGCGGGGUUCCUGGACGGCGACGGAAGUGUAAUGCUGCAACUGAAGCCGAGGCGUGACUACCGUUACGGCUUCCAGAUCAAGGCGACGAUCAGUUUCUACCAAGACCGACGGAGCCGGCACGUCCUGGAGUGGCUGCGUGCACAACUGGGGGUUGGCUCUGUACGGAACCGACCGGACGGCAUCUGUCAAUGCGAUAUCGAGGGCGUGGAUGCCGUCAGUCGGGUCCUGGUAGAGGUCGCUCCGUACAUCGUGGCGAAGAAGCAGCAGGUUGAGACAGCGGUGCGGUUGCUGUGCGAGAUCCGGCAGAAUCCGCGACCGUCGGCACAGGAAUUCUUGGAGUGGGCCGAACGGGUCGAGUCCUACCAGCGCCUAAACUACUCGAAGCGCCCGCGGUACGGGGCAGAAGACGUACGGCGGGAGCUGGUAGCACGGCGCGCCUUCACCCCCGUAACGACUGAGGCCGUGGAGGCCGAGGCUCGGGCGGCGACCAGACAGGAACCCAUCGCCCGGGCAACACGCCGGCACCCCCGAAAGGGGGUGGUGGGAUAGUCUACCCCCCGAGGAAACUCGGGGAGACGGUGCGUGAGACAGGUCGGUCCCUAUCCACUGCGGGCGUCGGUGGCUUGAGGGGGGCUGCUCCUAGUACGAGAGGACCGGAGUGGACGCACCUCUGGUGUACCGGUUGUCGCGCCAGCGGCACGCGCCGGGUAGCCAUGUGCGGUCGUGAUAAGCGCUGAAAGCAUCUAAGCGCGAAGCACGCCCCAAGAUGAGGCCACCCACCGGGUCAACCGGGUAAGGCCCCAGGUAGACUACCUGGUAGAUAGGCCGGAGGUGGAAGCGCGGCAACGCGUGAAGCCGACCGGUACUAAUCGGCCGAGGGCUUGAAGG
rnacentral:rRNA from 1 species